AUAGAUCUGAAUGUUGUUACUUCUAGUUCAUGCUCACACAGACAGCUCUCCAGAUCAUCAAAAGUGUCUUUUCCAGAUGCUGCUGAGCUGUAGAACUGAGCAGGCCUUGCCACACGGCUUCAUUCACUGCUUCACUGCUGACUUAGAAGUUAACCAUGGUGCACUCAGAAAUGGGGAAGAAACACAGACCUGAGUGCAGACAAGUCUACUUCUAUCAGUGGUGUCAUUUAAUCCCUCAACCGCAAAUAAAUAAAUAAAUAAA